UAUUGAACCAGGUUUAAAAACACUGAAUAAUUUUGGACAACACGUUGCUUGCCCAUAUUUGUGGGAGGUCCUUCUUUCUUGGCCGUGCUCGCCAAUCGCGCCGUUUUGGUCAUAGCUCCCGUUGUCGAUGCUAGCAGUGCUGAUUUGUUAACACUUGGAUUGGCUGUGAACUAGUAUAUUAACCGGUCUGGUAUGGCUGGCAAUUCGCCCUAAAUCUAUCUCUGUGGUAAGGGCUACGUACUUGCUUUCCAUGGUUAAUUGGAUUGCAGAUUGGAGAGUGUGAUUUUUAUUUUCAUUUUUUUAGGUAAAUCCUCAAGGCGUGGAAUGCCAGUUUAUAUGUUCCCACCUUCCUGAUUUUGUAGUUUCCGAGCUAUUAUGUUACUGCCCUUUCUGCUUACGUUACUACUACUGUAGUUGAAAAGAUUUUGAGGUGGAAUGUUAGGUGCUUCCUUGUCAGUUGUUUGUUAAUCAUCAACAUUUUGAGGAGGAAUUGGGAAAUAGGCAAUGUGUUUUUGGCUAUUUAUCAUUGUUUUUGUUGCUCAACUUUAGGGCAUGGGAAUCUCUGUCAGGUGUUACAUGCUGCAGGUCUCUAGUUGUUAUUUAUGAUUACUGUUGUAUCCUACAAAUUGGCUUGGCAGCUUAAUCUGUCGAUAAUGAAGCACUGGCUGUCGAUGCUGCCAAGUUGAUGCAAGGAUCACUUUACCGUGCUGCUAUAAAAUCUGCAUCUCAGAGCUAUUUGGCCAACCUUUUCUCUCUACACUGGGAUAUCUGAGUUGCCAUUUCUACCUUUGAACACACAGGCAAUGAAGAGAUGAAGGAAUUGCAAUAAUUGGUGGUGACACAAUUAAGGGGUUCACAUCUUCCGACCAGGCAUGGAUUGCUCUUAUUGGAGAAAAACUGGAUGCUACUCUAGCAAAACAUUUUGUAAAUAAAUGAUAGGCAGUGCAAGAUAGAGUCUGAUAAUAACUAUGUGGACGUCUGGAUUCUCAUGUGCAUAGCAUUUGUUGCGUCCAUUAUUCAAGGAGGAGGCAAAUUGUUAUCGAACCAAAUCAUAGUGUGGCAAAACGAAGAUGGAGUGAGAACAAGGAGGCAGCAUAGCAUUUUGAACCCAAUUCAUGCCAUAGGUGAACACAGCUUCCAGGGAUGCUACUCACCUUGACUUCUGAGUUGGUGAUAGAACAAGCAGGAAGCACCAAAAUUUGUCAAAUUAUCAUGUUAUUAUAUUAUAGUUAUAGAAAACACUAAAAGGUGCGGUAUGUUCACCGUAGCUGAAUACUGUUCAACCACUCAGAUUAUUGUGGAUACACCGUUUAUUUUUUUUCAUUUUAGUCCUCAAACUUUUAUUUUGAACGAUUUUAUCCUAAUUGAAGGCCAAUUGCUUUU